AUUAUACAGCGAAACUGCGAAUGGCUCAUUAUAUAAGUUAUCGUUUAUUUGAUAGUACCUUACUACUUGGAUAACCGUGGUAAUUCUAGAGCUAAUACAUGCUAAAAAUCCCGACUUACGAAGGGAUGUAUUUAUUAGAUUAAAAACCAAUGCCCUUCGGGGCUCACUGGUGAUUCAUAAUAACUUCUCGAAUCGCAUGGCCUUGCGCCGGCGAUGGUUCAUUCAAAUUUCUUCCCUAUCAACUUUCGAUGCUAGAGUAGUGUUCUAGCAUGGUUACAACGGGUAACGGAGGGUUAGGGCUCGACCCCGGAGAAGGAGCCUGAGAAACGGCUACUACAUCCAAGGAAGGCAGCAGGCGCGCAAAUUACCCAAUCCCGACACGGGGAGGUAGUGACGAUAAAUACUGAUACAGGGCUCUUUUGGGUCUUGUAAUUGGAAUGAGUACAAUUUAAAUCCCUUAACGAGGAACAAUUGGAGGGCAAGUCUGGUGCCAGCAGCCGCGGUAAUUCCAGCUCCAAUAGCGUAUAUUAAAGUUGUUGUGGUUAAAAAGCUCGUAGUAGAACCUUGGGCCUGGCUGGCCGGUCCGCCUCACCGCGUGCACUGGUCCGGCCGGGCCUUUCCCCCUGUGGAACCUCAUGCCCUUCACUGGGUGUGUGGGAAAACAGGACUUUUACUUUGAAAAAAUUAGAGUGCUCCAGGCAGGCCUAUGCUCGAAUACAUUAGCAUGGAAUAAUAGAAUAGGACGUGUGGUUCUAUUUUGUUGGUUUCUAGGACCGCCGUAAUGAUUAAUAGGGACAGUCGGGGGCAUCAGUAUUCAAUUGUCAGAGGUGAAAUUCUUGGAUUUAUUGAAGACUAACUACUGCGAAAGCAUUUGCCAAGGAUGUUUUCAUUUAUCAGGAACGAAAGUUAGGGGAUCGAAGACGAUCAGAUACCGUCGUAGUCUUAACCAUAAACUAUGCCGACUAGGGAUCGGACGAUGUUAUUUUUUGACUCGUUCGGCACCUUACGAGAAAUCAAAGUGCUUGGG
rnacentral:rRNA from 1 species